AUGCUCCUCUCGCUGGAUGUGGGGCACAGCCUGGGGUUCUCCACUGGCUCACCCAGGAAGCACCUCUCAUCCCCGUCGGGAGCACCCUGCUUCCUCCAGCCACAUUUGCUUGACCUCACAAUGACAGCACUCGGCACUCUUUGGAUUCUUUUUCGUUUCCCCAGCACUUCUGGGAACUGUGCACCAAAGUUAGGAGACACAUCCCUGGACUGCUUCCCCAGACCUCUGUCCCUUCUUGCUCAUCCUCUUGGUAGGUCUGGCUCUCCCUGGCACACGCGGGACUUUGGCCACGUCCCCGGCCACCUGAGGUGGGAGCAUCCCAGCUGCAGUGGUGAGCAGGUCGACAGUCUGUUGAGGAUGAUUCUUCGGCAUCUCAGGUCUGUAUUUGGAGUGGUGAAGGAUGACUGCGUUCACAGGAAGAGCAAUUUCUCUUCUCCUGACAUUGAGUUCAGGCUUAGGGCGGUUGCAUUCUUGGAGGCAUCUCCACUGGUCUAAUGUCAUUUGUUGUCUGGAGGUCUCUUCCCCACGCUCCUCCAACUCAGGAAGGUUCACGGAGGGAUCCGUUGCCGGCUCUCCUGAGGCCUCACCCACCACCGUGGGGUCUGCCUCGGGAGAUGCGAGUCCUCCCUCCUCGACUGACUCCCUCCCAAGGUCUCUCUCCAGAUCAGUCUUCUGCAUAUAAAAGAGGACAUAGGCAGGUUGGCGCAGCGCACAAAUCACAUCACAGGCGCUGACCUUAGCAUCAUCCAUUUUAUACCACUGGCCAUUUCCUGCCUUUACGAAACAGAAGUAAUGUCCGCUGUGGCAACUCCUCCCAGCGUGCACCAGCACGGCAUAGAGCACAUAAACCAAGGGUCCUGCCCUCUGCUCAGACAGGCAGUGUUGCAUGUCAAGGCGCUCAGGAUAUUGCACCUCCUUAGUCAUUUUGUUGCCUGUCAAGUCUGAGAAUCGUCUCAAGACCAGGAUGAGGACCUUCGGGGAAGUGUGCAAAGUCUACACCUUGGACGCAGGCACCUUCUCCAGACACUUACU
rnacentral:lncRNA from 1 species